rnacentral:rRNA from 1 species
UACGUAGGGGGCAAGCGUUGUCCGGAAUCAUUGGGCGUAAAGAGCGUGUAGGCGGCUCGAUAAGUCCGCUGUGAAAGUCCAGGGCUCAACCCUGGAAGGCCGGUGGAAACUGUCGGGCUAGAGUCCGGAAGAGGCGAGUGGAAUUCCUGGUGUAGCGGUGGAAUGCGCAGAUAUCAGGAGGAACACCGAUGGCGAAGGCAGCUCGCUGGGACGGUACUGACGCUGAGGCGCGAAAGCGUGGGGAGCGAACAGG